UACGAGGGGGGCAAGCGUUUGUUCGGAAUUAUUGGGCGUAAAGGGCGCGUAGGCGGUGCGGUAAGUCUGAUGUGAAAUCUCCGGGCUCAACUCGGAGUCUGCAUCAGAAACUGCCGUGCUCGAGUGUGGGAGAGGUGAGUGGAAUUCCCAGUGUAGAGGUGAAAUUCGUAGAUAUUGGGAAGAACACCGGUGGCGAAGGCGGCUCACUGGCUCAUUUCUGACGCUCAGGCGCGACAGCGUGGGGAUCAAACAGG
rnacentral:rRNA from 1 species